AUGGACCAAAGAACAUUAUGCUUACAGUAUUACAUGCAUUAUUAUCACUACUACAUGUGGAGGAGAAGAUUGCUUGCUGCCAUUAUUGUGUGUUUAGGGAUGUACUGGUACAAGAUUAAUGUCCGAAAAAGGAAGAGAAAAUCUAUAACUUAUGCUCCCAUGUUCGAACGAGAUGUUGAAAGGAUGUCACGCCUGAACCGGAUGUAUUAUGGAACCGAGGCUAAUUGCAUAAGUGAGUUGCGCAUGCGGAAAUUUGUUUUUCACAAAUUGUGUGCCAACCUGAGACGUCGUGGUCUACUGGUAGACACAUUCCAUGUAACUGUGGAGGAGCAAGUUGCCAUGUUCAUCCAUGUUGUGGGUCAUAACUGGAAAAAUAGAUCGAUUGGUUUCGAGUUUUAUCAAUCGGGCGAGACUGUUAGUAGGUACUUCAAUGCUGUUUUAGAUGCCCUGUGUCUCCUUGCUCGUGAUGUCAUAUGCAUCAGAACCAUCGAAACACAUUCGAAGAUAACAAGUAGCUCCAGAUUUCACCCUUACUUUGAGGGAUGCAUAGGAGCUCUGGAUGGUACUCAUAUACCGGCAUGUGUGCCAAUCCACAUGCAAGAUAGGUUUAGGGGUAGAAAGUCCUUUCCCACACAAAAUGUGCUAGCAGCCGUUGAUUUUGACCUAAGAUUUACAUAUGUUCUUGCUGGAUGGGAGGGAUCGGCUCAUGAUUCUUAUGUGCUCCAAGAUGCCCUAUCACGUCCCAAUGGCCUUAAAAUACCAGAAGAUGGGAUUCUAACCCAUGGCUUCAAACUGAAACUUUCUUUAGUUCUUAGCUAA
rnacentral:rRNA from 1 species